rnacentral:lncRNA from 1 species
GACUCUUAUCAUCUCAGUUUUGUUUAUAUAUGUUUACAUAUUUAUCUACUUUCUUUUCCAGAAAAACUUUGAGAUACCUGCUACGGACUCAGAAAGUAAAACAAGACAAAAUGAAACACAAAUUACAGAAAUGAAGAAGGCUGGCUCAAGGGAAAAUGAGAAUGAAAAUGAAAUGAGGAUAUCAGAAAGAUUUACUGGGAAGAGAAUGAAAUGUAUCCGAAGUCUGAUGUCUCCAUUUGAAUGCUUCAGAAUCAUGGGCUACAAGCCACAAAAUUCAUAAUAAAUGUGCUGCAAGGUUAUACAUGAGAGAACAGAAGUCUGGAGGACCUUCUCAUCUCUGUGAGCACCUAGCAUAGUACUUUCU